rnacentral:rRNA from 1 species
AAGAUUUUAAUGAUCGAACAGAUCAAAACUUUAAACUUUUGCAUUUAAAUUUUAUCUUAAUCCAACAUCGAGGUCGCAAACUUUUUUUUUUAUUUGUACUAAAAAAAAAUAUUACG